AGUGAACGCUGGCGGUAGGCCUAACACAUGCAAGUCGAACGGCAGCACAGUAAGAGCUUGCUCUUACGGGUGGCGAGUGGCGGACGGGUGAGGAAUACAUCGGAAUCUACUUUUUCGUGGGGGAUAACGUAGGGAAACUUACGCUAAUACCGCAUACGACCUACGGGUGAAAGCAGGGGAUCUUCGGACCUUUCGCGAUUGAAUGAGCCGAUGUCGGAUUAGCUAGUUGGCGGGGUAAAGGCCCACCAAGGCGACGAUCCGUAGCUGGUCUGAGAGGAUGAUCAGCCACACUGGAACUGAGACACGGUCGAGACUCCUACGGGAGGCAGCAGUGGGGAAUAUUGGACAAUGGGCGCAAGCCUGAUCCAGCCAUACCGCGUGGGUGAAGAAGGACUUCGGGUUGUAAAGCCCUUUUGUUGGGAAAGAAAAGCAGCAGGUUAAUACCCCGCUGUUCUGACGGUACCCAAAGAAUAAGCACCGGCUAACUUCGUG
rnacentral:rRNA from 1 species